ensembl:lncRNA
AAGCUGCUCAAUAGAAAAACCUGAUUUAAUUUACAAACAUUCAUCCCACACACUUCAGGAACAAUUAUUCAAGGAACUGAAGUGUACCUGGAUUGCCUUUAAUUUAUGAAUAAUCAAACAUUUGGGAGGAAAAGAGAAAGUACAUUCCUAAUAUCAUUUGAUAUAAAAGUAACUACUCUCUAAAUACCAGAGUCAGGUUACUCAAUGUUGCAUGUAGAAGAAUAUAAACUUAAACUAUCAAUUUUCUUCUAUAUAAUUCACCCAAAUUAUAUUAAACUGAAAUUUUAAAAAAUCCUUGUAACAUUGAGUAACACCAAGGUUUGUGGCAACCUUGAGUCAAACAAAUCUAUGGGAGUCAUUUUUCCAACAGCACAUGUGCUCACUCUGUGUCUCUGUCACAUUUUGGUAAUUCAGGAUUUCAAAGAUUUUCAUUACUUAUGAUAUAUGGUGAUCUGUGAUCAGGGAUCUGUGAUGUUAUUUACUAUUGUAAUUGUUUUGGGGCACCACAAACCGUGCCCACAUGAGACAGCAAACUUGCUGGAUAAAUGCUGGAUGUGUUCUGACUGCUCCACCAGCCAGCCCUUCCUCUACCCCCUCCCUCUCCUUGGGCCUCUCUAUUUUCGGAGACAUGAGAACAUUGAAAUUAGGCCAAUUUGUAACCCUACAAUGGCCUCUAAGUGUUUGAGUGAAAGGAAGAAUUGCAGGUCUUUCACUUUAACCCAAAAGCUAGAAAUGAUUAAGCUUAGUGAGGAAGGCAUGUGAAAAGCUGACACAGGCCAAGAGCGAGGCCUCUUGCACCGGACAGUUAGCCGAGUUGUGGAUGCCAAGGACAAGUUCAUGAAGGAAACUUAAGGUGCGACUCCAGUGAACCACAAGGAAGCACACAGCCCUACUGCUGAGAAGGAGAAAGUUUGAGUGGUCUGGACAGAAGAUCAAACCAGCCACAACAUUCCCUUAAGCCAAAGCCUAAUCCAGAGCAAGGCCCUAACUCUCUUCAAUUCUGUGAAGGCCGAGAGAGGUGAAGAAGCUGCAGAAGAAAAGCUGGAAACCAGCAGAGGAUGGUUCACGAGGUUUAGGGAAAGAAACCAUCUCUGUAACAUAAAAAGCACAAGGUGAAGCAGCAGGUGCUGAUGGAGAAGCUGCAGCAAGUUCUCCAGGGGAUCUGGCUGAGACCAUCGAUGAAGGUGGCCACACUAAAUAACAGAUUUUCAACAUAGACCAAGAGCUUUCUAUUGGAAGAAGAUGCCAUCUAGGAGUUUCCUAGCUAGCAGGCAGUCAAUGUCUGGCUUCAAAGCUUCAAAGGACAGGCUGACUCUCUUGUUCAGGGAUAAUGCAGCUGGUGACUUCAAGUUGAAGCCAGUGCUCAUGUGCUAUUCUGAAAAUCCCAGGGCCCUUAAGAAUGAUGCUAAAUCUCCUCUGCCUGUGCUCUAGAAAUGCAACAACAAAGCCUGGAUGACAGCACUUCUGUUUACAACAUGGUUUACUGAAUAUUUUAAGCCCACACGUAAGACCUACUGCUACUGCUCAGAAAAAAAGAUUCUUUUCAAAAUAUUCCUGCUCAUUGACAAUGCACCUGGUCACCCAAGAGCUCUGACAGAGACACACAAAGAGACAAAUGCUGUUUCCAUACCUGCUAACACAACCUGUAGUCAGCAGUCUAAAUUACAAGGAGUAAUAAGACUUUCAAGUCUUAUUUAAGAAUAUUCUUGGGUGACAGAGCGAUACUCCGUCUCAAAAAAAAAAAAA